CACCGGCCGCUCAAGUGGUGACCGCUUUUAUUGGGCCUAAAGCGUUCGUAGCCGGUCCGGUAAGUCCUUGGGUAAAUCCUCAGGCUUAACCUGAGGAAUUCCGAGGAUACUGCUGGACUUGGAGUUGAGAGAAGUCGGAGGUACCUCCGGGGUAGGGGUGAAAUCCUAUAAUCCUGGGGGGACCACCAGUGGCGAAGGCGUCCGACUAGAGUAAGCUCGACGGUGAGGGACGAAAGCCAGGGGCGCGAACGGGAUUAGAUACCCCGGUAGUCCUGGCUGUAAACGCUGCGCGCUAGGUGUUACGUCCUCUACGAGGGGACGUAGUGCCGAAGAGAAGUUGAUAAGCGUGCCGCCUGGGAAGUAUUACCGCAAGGUAGAAACUUAAAGGAAUUGGCGGGGGAGCACCACAAGGGGUGGAGUCUGCGGUUCAAUUGGAUUCAACGCCGGGAAACUCACCGGGGGCGACGGCAGAAUGAUAGCCAAGCUGACGACUUUGCUUGACGAGCCGAGAGGAGGUGCGUGGCCGUCGUCAGCUCGUACUGUGAAGCGUCCUGUUAAGUCAGGCAACGAGCGAGACCCGUGCCCUUAGUUGCAACGUCCUCCCAUAGGGGGGAUGGCACUCUAGGGGGACCGCCAGUGAUAAACUGGAGGAAGGUGCGGGCGACUAUAGGUCAGUAUGCCCCGAAUCCCCCGGGCUACACGCGGACUACAAUGGAUGGUACAAUGGGCUUCGACUCCGAGAGGAGAAGGAAAUCCCCAAAGCCAUUCGAAGUUCAGAUUGUGGGUUGCAACUCACCCACAUGAAGCCGGAAUCCCUAGUAAUCGCGUGUCAUCAUCGCGCGGUGAAUAUGUCCCUGCUCC
rnacentral:rRNA from 1 species